GAUGAACGCUGGCGGCGUGCCUAAUACAUGCAAGUCGAGCGAACAGACGAGGAGCUUGCUCCUUUGACGUUGCGGCGGACGGGUGAGUAAACAGUAAGUAACCUACCUAUAAGACUGGGAUAACUUCGGGAAACCGGAGCUAAUACCGGGUAAUAUUUCGAACCGCCUGGUUUGAUAGUGAAAGAAGGCUUUGCUAUCACUUAUAGAUGGACCUGCGCCGUAUUAGCUAGUUGGUAAGGUAACGGCUUACCAAGGCAACGAUACGUAGCCGACCUGAGAGGGUGAUCGGCCACACUGGAACUGAGACACGGUCCAGACUCCUACGGGAGGCAGCAGUAGGGAAUCUUCCGCAAUGGGCGAAAGCCUGACGGAGCAACGCCGCGUGAGUGAUGAAGGUCUUCGGAUCGUAAAACUCUGUUAUUAGGGAAGAACAAACGUGUAAGUAACUGUGCACGUCUUGACGGUACCUAAUCAGAAAGCCACGGCUAACUACGUG
rnacentral:rRNA from 1 species